rnacentral:rRNA from 1 species
CAGUAGCCGCGGUAAUACGUAGGGUGCGAGCGUUAAUCGGAAUUACUGGGCGUAAAGCGUGCGCAGGCGGUUUGUUAAGACAGAUGUGAAAUCCCCGGGCUUAACCUGGGAACUGCAUUUGUGACUGGCGGGCUAGAGUAUGGCAGAGGGGGGUAGAAUUCCACGUGUAGCAGUGAAAUGCGUAGAGAUGUGGAGGAAUACCGAUGGCGAAGGCAGCCCCCUGGGCCAAUACUGACGCUCAUGCACGAAAGCGUGGGGAGCAAACAGGAUUAGAUACCCCUGUAGUCCCUGUCUCUUAUAA